GAAUAUCAAAAGAUGGGGGCGAUCAAAAACAACAGUCAAUGCAAGACCUUGUAAAUUCAGAGAGCAAAGAAGUUUUGUUCCUUUCCUACGAUAACUGCUUUCCAUGUUGCUUAAUUUAGGAUCUUGGAGGUGCACCAGAAGGUAAUGCGUACGGAUGAACCAUCUUUAAAACAAUGUAACAAGAAAACGAGAUGAUGCUCGCAACAGUAUAAAAGAUUGUCUUCUUUAUAGGAUCCAAAAUAGCAAGAAUGGGAUAAGCGUAAAAUUUGUUCAUUUGAUAGCAUUUCUCAACCCACAACAUGUAACUUACUGCGAUUGACAGAUAGACAAGAAGAGAAGGACCAAUAGACAAACUAAAAGGCGGUGAGAAAAAAAGGUAAUCGAUAAGUGUAUAAACGGUAGGCAUUAAAUGUACGCUAAUAUCAAAAUUCAGAGGAAGAGGCACAGGGCGAUCUUUAGGGAUUAAAAGAGACCUAUCAUAAGAAACUAUAGACCAAUACAAAAUUGAAACAAUAGUUUCCAGUGGACAAACAAUAUAAAGAAGGAUAUUUUUUAGCUUUACAAGUGUCAAGGAACCAGAAAUAUCAGAAAAUAAUCCUACUACCAUACUCAACAAUGUAACGGCCAGUGACAAAACAGUUCUACAUAAAGUGUUAAUAUUCAGUAAUAUUAAGUAAGGUAUCAGGCCAGACGUAUGCGCUUACAAAUGCUGAAAAUGAGAACCAUAGGACCUUCUAAUAGCAACAUCGCUAUUGUGGUUAAUCCAGUUAAACGCCCAUAUCAAAUUCGCUGUCGCAACUGUAUGCAAAAUAAAAGAAUUAAAUCGUGAACGAGAUAUAGCCGAAGACAUAUCAAUUGGGUAUUUUAACGCUACGCUUCUUACGGUUUUGGUAGUGGUAAGUUGUGUGAUUUAGGUCCGUUUCUACCAAGUGACACACCAAUGGUCAAAUAUCCCCAUACAUGAUAAAACAAGAAAUACAAUUUAUAAUGGUUUUAACUUACAAAGAAUUAAAUCGUCUAGAUACGAAACUAUCUAAUUUAGCAUCAAUAUACAGCAAAAUGUAAAAAAAAGAGAAAAAGAAGGAUAGCAAUAUUUUCGUAAAUAGUGAUUGUUAAGUGAAGACAGACCCCGUUUUACAACGUCUAAUUUCAACGGUCAAGAAUGUGCUGUAUGCAAGUAGGUAUUUGUUUGAGAGAUCAUUGUGAAAAAAGCUAUGCUAAAAUGUGGUAGCUUCUUUUAUACUAGACAUGUUUGAAUUCAAAGAUGCUUAUGCAAAGAAUCUUCUACCAGUACCUUUUUGACCGAUACCACCGACAUCACAUACCGUACAAACUUCAUUGACAUAGCCUUUAUGAUAUACGGCACCGCAAACGGAACAAACAUCAAAAUCAUCUCCAGAAUAUACAGGAGUUAAAGUCUUGGGACAAAUACGCAUUUCAACGUGUGGAUCAUAUUCGAUUUCAAAGGCAUCAUGAGGGUUUCGGUC